AAAUGUGAAGCAAUAAUUGCAAAUAAUUUCGACUUAUAGAUUGAUAUAAAAUAUCCACAUUUA
rnacentral:tRNA from 1 species